AACCCGACUCCAUGAAGCUGGAUUCGCUAGUAAUCGCGCAUCAGCCACGGCGCGGUGAAUACCGUUCCCGGGCCUUGUACACACCGCCCGUCAAGCCAUGAAAGCCGGGGGUACCUGAAGUGCGUAACCGCGAGGAGCGCCCUAGGGUAAAACUGGUGAUUGGGGCUAAGUCGUAACAAGGUAAC
rnacentral:rRNA from 1 species